rnacentral:rRNA from 1 species
UACGUAGGGGGCAAGCGUUGUCCGGAUUUAUUGGGCGUAAAGAGCGUGUAGGCGGCCAGGUAGGUCAGCUGUGAAAACUCGAGGCUCAACCUCGAGACGUCGGUUGAAACCGUAUGGCUAGAGUCCGGAAGAGGAGAGUGGAAUUCCCGGUGUAGCGGUGAAAUGCGUAGAUAUCGGAAGGAACGCCGGUGGCGAAAGCGACGUGCUGGACCUCUUCUGACGCUGAGGCGCGAAAGCCAGGGGAGCGAACGGG